rnacentral:rRNA from 1 species
AGUGGCGGACGGGUGAGUAACGCGUGAGAAUCUGGCUUCAGGAGGGGGACAACAGUUGGAAACGACUGCUAAUACCCCAUAUGUCUACGGAUGAAACGGUGAAUUCCGCCUGAAGAUGAGCUCGCGUCGGAUUAGCUAGUUGGUGAGGUAAAGGCUCACCAAGGCGACGAUCCGUAGCUGGUCUGAGAGGAUGAUCAGCCACACUGGGACUGAGACACGGCCCAGACUCCUACGGGAGGCAGCAGUGGGGAAUUUUCCGCAAUGGGCGAAAGCCUGACGGAGCAACGCCGCGUGCGGGAAGACGGCCUGUGGGUUGUAAACCGCUUUUCUCUGGGAAGAAUAAGUUGACGGUACCAGAGGAAUCAGCAUCGGCUAACUCCGUGCCAGCAGCCGCGGUAAUACGGAGGAUGCAAGCGUUAUCCGGAAUUAUUGGGCGUAAAGCGUCCGCAGGCGGCUUAUCAAGUCUGCUGUUAAAGGUCGGGGCUCAACUCCGGUUAGGCAGUGGAAACUGAUAGGCUAGAGUGUGGUAGGGGUAGAGGGAAUUCCCAGUGUAGCGGUGAAAUGCGUAGAUAUUGGGAAGAACACCAGUGGCGAAGGCGCUCUACUGGGCCACAACUGACGCUGAGGGACGAAAGCUAGGGGAGCGAAAGGGAUUAGAUACCCCUGUAGUCCUAGCUGUAAACGAUGGACACUAGGUGUUG